rnacentral:rRNA from 1 species
GGAAUCUUCCACAAUGGACGAAAGUCUGAUGGAGCAACGCCGCGUGAGCGAUGAAGGCCUUCGGGUCGUAAAGCUCUGUUGUUAGGGAAGAACAAGUAUCGGAGUAACUGCCGGUACCUUGACGGUACCUAACCAGAAAGCCACGGCUAACUACGUGCCAGCAGCCGCGGUAAUACGUAGGUGGCAAGCGUUGUCCGGAAUUAUUGGGCGUAAAGCGCGCGCAGGCGGUCCUUUAAGUCUGAUGUGAAAGCCCACGGCUCAACCGUGGAGGGUCAUUGGAAACUGGUGGACUUGAGUGCAGAAGAGGAAAGCGGAAUUCCUCGUGUAGCGCUGAAAUGCGUAGAGAUCUGGAGGAACACCCGUGGCGAAAGCGGCUUUCUGGUCCGUAACUGACGCUGAGGCGCGAAAGCGUGGGGAGCAAACAGGA